rnacentral:rRNA from 1 species
UGCCAGCCGCCGCGGUAAUACGUAGGGUGCACGCGUUAAUCGGAAUUACUGGGCGUAAAGCGUGCGCAGGCGGCUUUUUAAGACAGGUGUGAAAUCCCCGGGCUUAACCUGGGAAUGGCGCUUGUGACUGGAAGGCUAGAGUGCGGCAGAGGGGGAUGGAAUUCCUGGUGUAGCAGUGAAAUGCGUAGAUAUCAGGAGGAACACCGAUGGCGAAGGCAGUCCCCUGGGUCGAUAUUGACGCUGAGGCGCGAAGGCGUGGGUAGCGAACGGGAUUAGAUA